CUAGUACUCCCUCUGUCCGGAAAAACUUGUCCUAAAAAUAGUUGUAUCUAGAUUUAUUUUAGUUAUAGAUACAUCUAUUUUAUUUAUUUCUAGGACAAGUCCCGACGAAAGGAGUAUUAU
rnacentral:pre_miRNA from 1 species